rnacentral:rRNA from 1 species
GUACGGGGGGAGCAAGCGUUUGUUCGGAUUUACUGGGCGUAAAGGGCGCGUAGGCGGCCACCGCAAGUCGACUGUGAAAUCUCCGGGCUUAACCCGGAAAGGUCAGCCGAUACUGCGGGGCUAGAGUGCAGAAGGGGGCAACUGGAAUUCCCGGUGUAGUGGUGAAAUGCGUAGAUAUCGGGGAGGAACACCAGUGGCGAAGGCGACUUCCUGGCCUGUUCUUGACGCUGAGGCGGCGAAAGCUAGGGGAGCAAACGGGG